UACGGAGGAUGCAAGCGUUAUCCGGAAUGAUUGGGCGUAAAGCGUCCGCAGGUGGCUGUGUAAGUCUGCUGUCAAAGAGCGAAGCUCAACUUCGUAAAGGCAGUGGAAACUACACGGCUAGAGUGCGUUCGGGGCAGAGGGAAUUCCUGGUGUAGCGGUGGAAUGCGUAGAGAUCCGGAGGAACACCAGUGGCGAAGGCGGCAUCCUGGACCGGUAUUGACGCUGAUGCGCGAAAGCCAGGGGAGCAAACGGG
rnacentral:rRNA from 1 species